rnacentral:rRNA from 1 species
GACGAACGCUGGCGGCGUGCCUAACACAUGCAGGUCGAGCGGAGAAAAUUGAAAGCUUGCUUUUGGUUUUCUUAGCGGCGGACGGGUGAGUAACGCGUGGGCAACCUGCCUAUCACAGGGGGAUAACACAGGGAAACUUGUGCUAAUACCGCAUAACACAACGAGGUAGCAUUACCUUGCUGUCAAAGGAGCAAUCCGGUGAUAGAUGGGCCCGCGUCCAAUUAGCUAGUUGGUGAUGUAACGGACCACCAAGGCGACGAUUGGUAGCCGAACUGAGAGGUUGAUCGGCCACAUUGGGACUGAGACACGGCCCAGACUCCUACGGGAGGCAGCAGUGGGGAAUAUUGCACAAUGGGGGAAACCCUGAUGCAGCAACGCCGCGUGAAGGAUGAAGGUUUUCGGAUUGUAAACUUCUUUAGUCAGGGACGAAUAAAUGACGGUACCUGAAGAAUAAGCCACGGCUAACUACGUGCCAGCAGCCGCAGUAA